GAUCAGGGUCUUCCUGGCAUGUCUAAAUAGGAACAGCUGAGCUCAACUUCUAGCAGGGCCCCUCUCCCUCUGUGCUCCCCUCUUCCCUGACCCUGGGGCUUGCUGGCAGGACCUGAGAGCUGUAAAAUCACCCACAGUUGAGCCCUCGCAUGUCCCGCUGUCAGCUACUCUGUCCCUGGGACCGCCCUUCCCGAUGCUGUCUCUCUGGGUCUGGCUUGCAUCCAGCCUCCCAGACAGGACUGAGCCUAUCUCCUUUCUCAGGCCAUGAGAAGUCUGAGAACGCGGUGAAAGCCGGAACUUGCUGUGCCACGUGCAAGGAGUUCUACCAGAUGAAGCAGACCGUGCUGCAGCUGAAGCAAAAGAUUGCUCUGCUCCCCAACAAUGCAGCUGACUUGGGCAAGUAUAUCACUGGUGACAAGGUGCUGGCCUCAAACGCCUACCUACCAGGACCUCCUGGCCUGCCUGGGGGCCAGGGCCCUCCCGGCUCACCAGGACCAAAGGGAAGCCCAGGCUUCCCCGGUAUGCCAGGCCCUCCUGGGCAGCCCGGCCCACGGGGCUCAAUGGGACCCAUGGGACCAUCUCCUGAUCUGUCCCACAUUAAGCAAGGCCGGAGGGGCCCUGUGGGUCCACCAGGUGCACCAGGAAGAGAUGGUUCUAAGGGGGAGAGAGGAGCGCCUGGGCCCAGAGGGUCUCCAGGACCCCCUGGUUCUUUUGACUUCCUGCUACUUAUGCUGGCUGACAUCCGCAAUGACAUCACUGAGCUGCAGGAAAAGGUGUUCGGGCACCGGACUCACUCUUCAGCAGAGGAGUUCCCUUUACCUCAGGAAUUUCCCAGCUACCCAGAAGCCAUGGACCUGGGCUCUGGAGAUGACCAUCCAAGAAGAACUGAGACAAGAGACUUGAGAGCCCCCAGAGACUUCUACCCAUAGCACAUCCCAACACCGUGACACCAAAGGAAGACAAAGAUGAACUCACCUGCAGUUAAACCAUCUAAAGAGAAAAAACACCACUGGAGACCUAGAAAACAUACAUUUUUCUCUUCUCUUCUCCUGACGUCUCUCCACUCCUCUUCUUCCAAAUACAAUACUAUUUUCAGGGUCCCCUCCUAGGCCUGCGGACAUGAGGGAGUGAAUGAUUGAUUUACCUGCUUCUCACUAAGAGUCCGUUGGGGUGGUUUGCGUUGUAACUUUUCUUUUACAUCCUAUUUUUCCAGGAACUUUGGAUUUAAGUACUCUCACAGUGUCUUAAAUCAUAAAUUCUUGAAGUUAAAUUUGGCAGAGUAUCAAAAGGGGGAAAAUGGCAAAGUGAGCUCUAAGAAAAUGUGAGUCUGCUUCUAAGAUGUGUGUUCAGAAUAGACCAUAACUCCUCUAGUAUCAAAAUUAGGGCUCUUCAGUUAAAAAGGGGUGGGGAGGACAAACGUGUAGAUGUACUUUGGUGGAGAAUUCUUUUUCCUUAUGCUUCUAGUAGACUUUAAAUAUUGUAUCCCCUUGUCAAACCUUGUUUCCCAAAUUCAAUUAAAGAGAGGAGAGAAUUGAAUGGCGUUUAGAGAAGAUAGAAAAGAAUUACAGUCAUAUAUUUACUGUUAUAUAGAUUGCCACAUUCUAAAAUUCAAAUAUGGUGCUUAAGGUUUCAUGCCAUGCUUAACUGUAAGUAUCCUAUUUAGGGAAAAAGAUUAAACUCUCUUUUCAAAAAAA
rnacentral:sRNA from 1 species